GGCGAGAUGGCUCAGUGGUUAAGAGCACUGACUGCUCUUCCAGAGGUCCUGAGUUCAAUUCCCAGCAACUACA
rnacentral:tRNA from 1 species